CUUCCCCAUGGACGGGUGAUAAAGCGCACUGUGAAUACAGCGACUGAACUUGGCCGACAUGCACUUGGUUUAAAAACGACAUCCCUCAUAUUUCAGUCACUUCAGCUGUCUUGCGUAUGGAGGCAGGGUUACCAGGAACAAGAGGCAA